UACUUUUUGUAGUUCAUAAGCGUGGUGAUUGGGUUUUCACACUCAUAUGUGACAUAUGCCUUCCUCCAAUUUUGUUACAAUGUUGGUGCGUUACCCAUCAGACA
rnacentral:snoRNA from 1 species